UGCGCAGGCUCGGGGCGAAGCCCCGCCGGGACCCCUCGUAGUGAGGGCCGCGAUCAGGGCGCCGGGUUCGUGGCGCGGCCGCUCGGCGGAGCCCUGUAGGAGGUGCUGUCGCUUCACGGAUGACGAAAUUGCUACACACUCAUCAGAAAUCACUGUUUUACCAUGUCUCUUGCUGCAAGGAGGUAGACACACCGCAUCGAUAUCGGGACAAAGGAAAGAAACAAGGGAAGGGUGUCCAAUCCUGUCAAGGGCUAUGACCCUUUUGUUGCACAGCGCAAGGUACAGCCACUUCACAGUCUGAUUUCCAAGUUGUUCUUACAGUGCUGACACUAUUCACUGGCUAAUCUAGUCAUCAGCUGCUGCUUUUCUUGAUAAAAAGGGAUUAGCAAAGUGCAGCAUCUACCGUGUAAACUGGCUAAGAUGGAAUGCAAACCCUCCUCCCGCCUCUCUAUAGAAGAAGCUGUAAUAAGAGAGGGAGUCUCAGGACUUCUGCUGAGUCUGUCACACAGAACCCAAUUCUUGUCUUUCUUCUAGAGCCUGCACCAUCAGCAGCAGAGCACAGAGCCAGUGCUGUGUCCUGCUUGCCUUACAGUUCUUGCAGAGAAGUUGUGAAAGAAGAAUAACAGAUGCGGAGGCCGCUUGCAGAGAUUCACGUCCCUUUAGGUGUCGUGCUUUUAAGCCUUUUACCUUCUCCAGAGUGCUGUGUUUGUCCCUUGGUCCAGGAGCAUCGCUGUGCCAGCCUUCUCAGGAGAGGUUCUGGCCUCCCUCUCCUUCAAGUAUGUCUGUUUACUCAGAGUGCUUUCUGCAAGCCUUACUCUGCGCAUUUAUUGUGGAAAAGCAGCCUGUGUUUCCUAACAUGCUGCUUCAGGCACUUGCAUUCCGUCUGAGUUGUACUGCCCUUCAAUUAUUGGUCUUCUCGUUGUGAUCAAGUGAACUUUUACAAAUCUCCACACUUAUUGUCAAGGUAAAUAGGUGCUGCUUUUAAUCAGUAGAAAGGGCGACACAAAUGCAGUCCUAAGUAACUUAAGCCAACUGUGAAGGAUACGGUGUGUGUGUAAUUGUGAAGGACAUCAGCCAUUCAGUCCAGCACAGCUCAGUGUUUCUUCAGAGCCAGAGCUCCGGAGUCCCCUUGUCCCACUCCCACCUCCUGUGCUGGCAGCCCCGAGCAGACAGGAGCAGAAUGGCGAGGCCGGACCUGGGGCGCUGCGGAGAUUGGAGCUGCCAGGUGAACGCAAGCCUGCAGAACACUUACAGAAGUUUCUCUCCACUGGCUUUUCCAAAUGUAAACAACCUAUACAGCGUCUUCUAAUGUAAAACAAAUGUGAAAGGCUGAAGUGGUGCUACAGGCUCCUGCGAUAUGAUGGAUGGUGUGAAUGAUGUUCAUCCCCACAGCUGCCCGUUGGAUUUCCUUCGCUGCAGCCGGGUUGUUCACUCUGAAAUUGUUUCAUAAAGACAACGCAUCUGCAGUUUGGAAAUCGAGUGAGAGGUGCUACACGCGCUUUUGUUACACUCCACAUUGUUUGCGUGUCCUUGUGAAAAAUGUUAAUGAGAUGUAUUAAAUGCAUCAACAGCAACCAUCUCCUGCUUUUGCACCACCCUGCUGCAAGGGGGGUUGAGAAGACAAGCUUGAAACAAAAAGAGCUUUCAUACCGUGGUCCAGUGCGACGAAGCCAUUGUACGUUGCUCCAGGGCUCUUAACUACCCAGGGAACUUUCAAAAUGGGCACUAUUUGAACUUCAGAGCAGGGCCUAUAAUCUUGCGUAAUAAUUACUUCAAAUGUGACAGUUUAAUUCAGUAUAGGUAUCCAAAACAAUUUCUGAAAUUAAUAAGACAUGCUUUAUAGCUUACGCAUGUCAGAAGUUAUAAGACAGGUCUCGUCAUGGAACUUGACUGCUUUAACGUGACUUUUUAAAUAGUCUGACAAUUUAAAACAAUUACAUAACGUUUUGUUCUUGCUAACUUUUGAAACAAAAAAAUGUUCCGUUGUGUUUAUAGGGCUGACUCUGGUGAGGUGACCUCUGCGGAGGGGUUACUCUUUGAAGUUCUCCCUGAAGAGCUUUGAGGCAGCUGAGUGUCUCUGAGUGUGAUUUCGUAAGGUUUUGAUGCUAGAAAACUGUUUAACAAACAGCUCCAAAAUAUUUAGAUUUUGAUUAAUAACACGCAGUGCUGUGGUAUUUAAAUAACAUGGAGUAUGAAGUCUAACAUGUGGCAGAAGUGUAUGCAUUCCACAUGGCUAGGAGGGCAGGAGUGGAAGCAUACCAGUAUCUGAGCCACAGGGAAAGAGUUGUACUAAGUCAGUUAAACUCUCCUGUAGAAAUCUAUUCAACUGUCAUCUCUGCUUGCACCAAAGCCUUUCCUCUUAUGCUGUGGCUGGAAGGAUGCUCCUUCAGCAGUGCUUUGUUCUGCAGGAGUCCACGUGUUGUGGGUGUGCAGAGCCCUGCCUGUGGCUAAUGUGUGGGUGCAGCACACAGCAGUUUGGGGGGAUCAGCUCCAUGCCCCAGUACAGCGCUGCGGUAAUGACGCUACCAAAACUUGGGGAAAAUAGUUGGAUAUGGCAUCCCGGAGAGCAGCACUCGCAUGGACAUCGGUCAUGGGGCCUCAGAACUGUCUGAAGUUCCUACAGUUUGACAAUCUUCAGCGUUGAAACUUGACUGACAAAAGAAGCUCUGUGUGGCCAAAAGAAGGCGUACUCUGUCUGUAGGCAGUAAAAUACCACUGUGCUUAGUGUCUUUGCAAUGAAAGGGCUUUUGCUGACGUGAAGAAAUUCUGAGCUGGCCUGCACCAAGGGUUCAUUUGAGAAUCCCACCUCCCUUACACCCUGGUUACUAUUGGUUUAGGAUAACAUCUACUCCCAUAAUAUUCAUAUAUUAGCUGUUUAUAUUAGCUCUAGGAUGAGAUGUGAUGUUUGCAUGCAAGUAUUUAUUUUAUUAAAUGUAAAGGAAGAAAGACCUAUCCAGCUCUAGCAUUGCAUAUAAAUACCUUAUUUGCAGAUGUAUCUUUUAACUGCCAAAACUAAAAAACUUGGACAUUUGAUUUCUAUUUUGGGACAAGCCAAAAGAAAAAGGAAAAAGAAAAAAGCAUUUUUUUCCCAAAUAUUUAUUUUUCUACAGUGGAAACAAAAUGUAAAUGACUUAGCUAUUUGCUGGGAAUACGUUCACACCAUGAAUAUGCAAGUUGUCAUUUAGCACGCCGAUGCAACGCUGUAAUUGUCCAGAUGAAACGCUGUUUGUAGAUGAAGUGUACCUGUUAUUCUUACCGAUUUUCUGUUUACUUAUUUAUGCAUUUAUUUAUUUAUUUUCAUUUAUAAAUGGUUGGAAGUAGUAUACAGCUGCGGAGAUAUGCACAACUGAGAAGACUGAUGAUCUGCCUUUGUGAGCAUUUUCACCUUUGAUCUAUCAAUUUUAAGAAAACCCUUCCAAAUGCAGUUCUGUAUUAAUGAUGGGAGAUUAACAAAAGGUGCAGUGGGUAAAAUAUGAACGUGCUUUCAGCUGUGCUGUACGGUCUAGAAUGGACAUCGAUGUUAAAGCGAUUCAGUCUUCAGAUCAACGUAGCAAUGACUGUUAAAAACGUAAAGAAAAGAGCUCAUUCAUCAAGCCGCACUAAUUAUAUCUAGCCCUCAUUUGCAAAUUGUUUAAUUGUGAGUAUUCCUGGGCUGGUAUUACGGAAUUGUAAGGACUAUUUUGCAGUUGUUGCUAACAAAAUUUAAAAUAGUCUCCAUUUAGUCUCUUUCAAAAGAGUUGAAGGUAGAUGAAGUGAAAACAAUGGGUACAUGAUAAAUAAAGGUCU